rnacentral:lncRNA from 1 species
UGCACUUUUACUAACUUCAUAUAACGUAAGUACUUCCCCCUUGUGUGAGCCUUGCCUUGGGACCCAUGAGCUCCCUCUGAACUUGGACAUAUAAAGGCUGGCAUUUCCACACUACACUCAUCUCUAUUCUAGUUAUGUAACUUAGGUGUAAGUACUGCUCGGGGUCCUCUUGAGACACAUUGGGAACUUUGACACAUUCAAGUUUGAGAAAGGCUUUGGAUCAACGGCAUUUGAGGUGGUUUAUUUAUAACUCAUAGAGAAAGUCAAGAAUCAGGCUUCCACUAGUUGUAACUUUUCUUUGUACUUUUCUGGUAUAAUUUAGAACUACUGGUAUGUAAUAAUUUUUAAUAAAUGCUUGUGGUUGGCUAGUGAAAAGGGUUUGCUCAAGGGUAGAAAGCAUACCUAUAGACUAUUUUUAAAUUCUGC